GGGGGUGACAGGCUUCGACUUCGGUAGUUGAUCCAGGGGAAGCGGGCCGAGGGUUGCGGGCAUGACCUCGUUAAUCCUGUGGCCGCACAACAAUAAGUGCCAACACACAGCGCACUCGUCUCGCCCUCGCGGCCUAAAUAACCGCGAGUUAGGGACUGUCAGCCCGGGAGUUCCUCCGGCCCGGUGCCUGGCAUCAGUAAGGAGGAUUUACCGUCUGGCCCGGCCGCGGGACCAGGCGGGACAUCGAACAGCGGCUGAGCCCGGCGGCGGCUUGCCUGCGUGACCGCCGGGGCUGAGAAAACCACAGCAGGCUGCGCCCGGAGAAGCCCUGGAGAUGUACUGAAGGACGCGGGUUCGAUUCCCGCCACCUCCACUC
rnacentral:tmRNA from 1 species